CACGCACGCCCGGCACCACGACCUUUCCCACGCCCCGCACCUCCUCCUCCCAACGACGAGAGCACGGCUCUGGGCCUCCACCGCCGCCCGCCCAUCCUCGCCCUCCUCCGCCGCCGCUCCACCGCCGCUCGCCCAUCCUCGCCCUCCUCCUUCACCGCUCCACCGCCGCUCGCCCAUUCUCUGCCGCCGCCACCUCUGCUGACGUCUGCAAGCCCCGCUGCUAUAGAUCUAAGCCAGAACCGCCCCUGUUGAGGACGACGGGUCCCGCCCCUUCCGGCCACGCACGACCAUCGCGCAACCGCCGAGCGUCCACACCCGUCUGCUGGUGGCGAUCUAUGUGCCUCGAACAGAUGGCGACGAACCAUGCCUCCAUUCAUGAAACUGUCUACUGUACUGACCCAACCAGCAGUCCUCCCCCUCCCCUGCAACCACUUGUUGGUUGAUUUGCCUGCACCAGGUCGUGUGAGAUUCGAGUUCGCAGCUGAGUCCACCAACCAACCCGGCGCCCAAUAAGAUGAGGGGGUUCUCGGUCUUCGUCUCACCUCAACUCGGACAGAGAGAGACUGCCACCAGUUGCUCCAUAGACGAUAUGGAGAGAUCGUCCAGACCUCACCUGGACCAUGUGCAGUACAGGAUGGACCAUCUCAAUAAAUAAAUAGAGGAUCGUAUGGACCAUCCGCCGGGGAGCAAGCUUUUCGCCGUCCGUCUGCUAAAUCGAUGUUGGAUGUUCACAAUCCACCUUCUGCUGGAGAACCUACAAAGGUACUCCCUCCGUUCACAAUUGUAAGAUGUUAUAACGUUUUUCUGAUUCGGAAGUAUAUAGAUGCAUUUUAGUGUCCUUGUUCACUCAUUUCAGUCCGUGUAGUGCAUAUUGAAAUAUUCAAAACAUCUUAUAAUUGUGAACUGAAGAAGUACAAUGUUAUUUUGUGCUCCCUGUGCUCUUUUCAA